AUCCAGCUGACAAGUUUUGAAUAAGACGAAACGCGCGUCCUAUAU
rnacentral:hammerhead_ribozyme from 1 species